CUCUGUUCCCCAUGGUAGCGCCAUUUCCAGAGUUAUCAGUGAAUGAUGAUUUCAUAGCUCUUUAAAUGGUACUGCCACAGGCAUUCAACGACCAGCUUUGGAGG
rnacentral:miRNA from 10 species